UAGGGAAUCUUCCGCAAUGGGCGAAAGCUUGACGGAGCAACGCCGCGUGAGUGAUGAAGGUCUUCGGAUCGUAAAACUCUGUUAUUAGGGAAGAACAAAUGUGUAAGUAACUAUGCACGUCUUGACGGUACCUAAUCAGAAAGCCACGGCUAACUACGUGCCAGCAGCCGCGGUAAUACGUAGGUGGCAAGCGUUAUCCGGAAUUCUUGGGCGUAAAGCGCGCGUAGGCGGUUUUUUAAGUCUGAUGUGAAAGCCCACGGCUCAACCGUGGAGGGUCAUUGGAAACUGGAAAACUUUAGUGCAGAAGAGGACAGUGGAAUUCCAUGUGUAACCGUGAAAUGCGCAGAGCUAUGGAGGAAAACCAGUGGCGAAGGCGACUUUCUGGUCUGUAACUGACGCAGCUGUGCGAAAGCGUGGGGAUCAAACAGG
rnacentral:rRNA from 1 species